GGGCCCUAACACAUGCAAGUCGAGCGGAUGAAGAGAGCUUGCUUUCUGAUUCAGCGGCGGACGGGUGAGUAAUGCCUAGGAAUCUGCCUGAUAGUGGGGGACAACGUUUCGAAAGGAACGCUAAUACCGCAUACGUCCUACGGGAGAAAGCAGGGGACCUUCGGGCCUUGCGCUAUCAGAUGAGCCUAGGUCGGAUUAGCUAGUUGGUGAGGUAACGGCUCACCAAGGCGACGAUCCGUAACUGGUCUGAGAGGAUGAUCAGUCACACUGGAACUGAGACACGGCCCAGACUCCUACGGGAGGCAGCAGUGGGGAGUAUUGGACAAUGGGCGAAAGCCUGAUCCAGCCAUGCCGCGUGUGUGAAGAAGGUCUUCGGAUUGUAAAGCACUUUAAGUUGGGAGGAAGGGCAUUAACCUAAUACGUUAGUGUUUUGACGUUACCGACAGAAUAAGCACCGGCUAACUUCGUGCCAGCAGCCGUGGUAAUACGAAGGGUGCAAGCGUUAAUCGGAAUUACUGGGCGUAAAGCGCGCGUAGGUGGUUUGUUAAGUUGAAUGUGAAAGCCCCGGGCUCAACCUGGGAACUGCAUCCAAAACUGGCAAGCUAGAGUAUGGCAGAGGGUGGUGGAAUUUCCUGUGUAGCGGUGAAAUGCGUAGAUAUAGGAAGGAACACCAGUGGCGAAGGCGACCACCUGGGCUAAUACCGACACUGAGGUGCGAAAGCGUGGGGAGCAAACAGGAUUAGAUACCCUGGUAGUCCACGCCCGUAAACGAUGUCGACUAGUNGUUGGGAUCCUUGAGAUCUUUAGUGGCGCACCUAACGCAUUAAGUCGACCGCCUGGGGAGUACGGCCGCAAGGUUAAAACUCAAAUGAAUUGACGGGCGCCCGCACAAGCGGUGGAGCCUUGUGGUUUAUUUCGAAGCAACGCGAAGAACCCUUACCAGGCCUUGACAUGCAAAAAACCUUCCCAGAGAUGGGAUUGGUGCCUUUC
rnacentral:rRNA from 1 species